AUUGAACGCUGGCGGCAGGCUUAACACAUGCAAGUCGAGCGGAGUGAUGGUGCUUGCACUAUCACUUAGCGGCGGACGGGUGAGUAAUGCUUAGGAAUCUGCCAUUUAGUGGGGGACAACAUUCCGAAAGGAAUGCUAAUACCGCAUACGUCCUUAGGGAGAAAGCAGGGGAUCUUCGGACCUUGCGCUAAAUGAUGAGCCUAAGUCGGAUUAGCUAGUUGGUGGGGUAAAGGCCUACCGAGGCGACGAUCUGUAGCGGGUCUGAGAGGAUGAUCCGCCACACUGGGACUGAGACACGGCCCAGACUCCUACGGGAGGCAGCAGUGGGGAAUAUUGGACAAUGGGGGGAACCCUGAUCCAGCCAUGCCGCGUGUGUGAAGAAGGCCUUCGGGUUGUAAAGCACUUUAGUUGGGGAAGAAGGUAUGUAGUUUAAGAGAUGACAUGCUUGACGGUACCCAAAGAAUAAGCACCGGCUAACUCUGUGCCAGCCGCCGCGGUAACAC
rnacentral:rRNA from 1 species